GGCGCUAUAGUGUAGUGGUUAUCACUCGAGAUUCUGACUUUGAUUUCUCGAAACCCAGGUUCGAACCCUGGUAGCGCCU